rnacentral:rRNA from 1 species
UGGGGAAUUUUGGACAAUGGGCGAAAGCCUGAUCCAGCAAUGCCGCGUGUGUGAAGAAGGCCUUCGGGUUGUAAAGCACUUUUGUCCGGAAAGAAAUCCUUGGCUCUAAUACAGUCGGGGGAUGACGGUACCGGAAGAAUAAGCACCGGCUAACUACGUGUCAGCAGCCGCGGUAAUACGUAGGGUGCAAGCGUUAAUCGGAAUUACUGGGCGUAAAGCGUGCGCAGGCGGUUUGCUAAGACCGAUGUGAAAUCCCCGGGCUCAACCUGGGAACUGCAUUGGUGACUGGCAGGCUAGAGUAUGGCAGAGGGGGGUAGAAUUCCACGUGUAGCAGUGAAAUGCGUAGAGAUGUGGAGGAAUACCGAUGGCGAAGGCAGCCCCCUGGGCCAAUACUGACGCUCAUGCACGAAAAGCGUGGGGGAGCAAAACAGGAUUAGAUACCCCUGGUAGUCCACGCCCUAAAACGAUGUCAACUAGUUGUUGGGGAUUCAUUUCCUUAGUAACGUAGCUAACGCGUGAAGUUGACCGCCUGGGGAGUACGGUCGCAAGAUUAAAACUCAAAUGAAUUGACGGGGUCAUAGCUGUUUCCU